rnacentral:rRNA from 1 species
CAACUUGAGAGUUUGAUCCUGGCUCAGAACGAACGCUGGCGGCAGGCCUAACACAUGCAAGUCGAGCGCUCUCUUCGGAGGGAGCGGCGGACGGGUUAGUAACGCGUGGGAAUAUGCCCUUCUCUACGGAAUAGCCUCGGGAAACUGAGAGUAAUACCGUAUACGCCCUUCGGGGGAAAGAUUUAUCGGAGAAGGAUUAGCCCGCGUUG